rnacentral:lncRNA from 1 species
GGCAGAGGCAGAGGCAGGUGGAUUUCUGAGUUUGAGGCCAGCCUGGUCUACAGAGUGAGUUCCAGGACAGCCAGGGCAACACAGAGAAAUCCUGUCUCGAAAAAACAAAAACAAAAAACAAAAACAACAACAAAAACAAAGAAAACUGAGUAAGACAGAGGUUAUAUGCCCUAUCCCUUCUUUAGGCCUUGCUAAGUUCAAGCUGGCUUUAGCUCUGUAACUCAGGCAGGCCUUGAAUUUGCAAUCCACAUGCUUCCACUUCUGGAAUAGUUGGUAUUACAGACCCGUGUCACUGGCCUGCUCUGUAUCUCCAUCUUAAACCAGUCCCUCUCAGUUUCUGUGCUUCAGCUUCUAAGUUGCACCCAAAACCUCAGUGCUUACCACAGGGCCUUUGCACAGGCUCCUCCCUCUCUUCCCUGCUUCAUCCCUCUCCUCCUUCAGUUCAGAGUUCAGGUGCCGGUUCUUCGAAAUCACCUUCCUUCUCUCUCAGGUUUAAAUCUAUCUAAUGAUUCUCUAACAAAAAGCCUGUAUCCCCAGUGGGCUUUAAACAUCACAAAACACAAGAGCUGGAUCUGUUUUGUUGUGCUGUUGUUUGGUUUCGUUCCCUUUCAUUAUAUAGAGCCAGAUCCAUCACCUGACCCACAAAGCAUAUUCGUAAUUAUUUAAGGCAUUGCUAUUGAGUCAUUGAAAUGCCUCAACAGGCAAAGCCUUGUGCUGCCAAGCCUGCCGACCUGAGCUCUGUCCCCAGGUCCCACAUAGUGACAGGAGAGAGCUGACUUCCACAAAUUGUCACCUGACUUAUAUACAUAUAAGGUGGCACACGUCCCUACAUACAUACACAAACAUUAAUGAAUUGGCUGAUUAAAAUGAAAUGACUAGGGGCUGGAGGACUGGCUCCGAGGUUGAGAGCACUCGUUCUUGGAGAGGAGCCCAGUUUGAUUCCUAGCACCCACAUGGCAGUUUCCAAUCACCUGUAACUCAUUCUAUGGGGAUGUGACACCCUUUUCCGGACUCUGUGGGCAAGAUACUUACACAUGGUGUGCCUGUAUCUGUGCAGGCAAUAUGCCCAGACACAUUUUUACAAGAUAGAAGAGUGAACUGACUGAUAGAGGGCUGUGGAUGUAGCUCAGGUCAUAGAGUGCAUACCUUGUGUGCCAGAGUUCAUAGGCUUCUCCUCCAACACUGCAUAAAUAGGGCAUGGUGGCACAUGCUUAUCAUCCCAGGGCUCAGGGACCCGAGUCAGGAGGGCCAGCCUGGGCUAUAGAAUGAGACUCUUUGUCUAAAACGUCUACAGAUAGGAGUCUGAUUUGAACCCCAAAGUAAAUUUCGCAGCAGUGAGAAUCAAGAGUCUCUCUGGGGCUGCUGGGAUGAGGAACCUGACUGAUCCUUCUCUAGUGACUGUGGUUCAGCGUGGGAAAGUGGCUCACUGCCCUCCACUUCCACAGGGAGGACGGCUUUAAUGAAUAAGACUGUCUGUCUUGCCAAGUAAAGGGCUACAUACUUGAUUGUCUCCCUGGCCUUUGAAGAUCCAAGCUGCUAAAAGAAGACAACUCUGAGUUCCAGGUGUGCUUCCGGAAACAGAUGCUACUCCAUAAGGCCUGGGAGCCACCAGGCUCCGCAACCAACCCUGCUUAGGGUGGGCAGGAUGCUUCUCAGGUGGACAGAAAUGGCUGGCUAGCCUAAUGACAAGGACACACACACACACACAC